GAGUUUGAUCCUGGCUCAGGACGAACGCUGGCGGCGUGCCUAACACAUGCAAGUCGAGCGAGGGGAGUUCUUCGGAACGAACCUAGCGGCGGACGGGUGAGUAACACGUGGGUAACCUGCCUCAAAGAGGGGGAUAGCCUCCCGAAAGGGAGAUUAAUACCGCAUAAUCCAUUGUUUCCGCAUGGAGAUUAUGGUAAAGAUUUAUCGCUUUGAGAUGGACCCGCGGCGCAUUAGCUAGUUGGUGAGGUAAUGGCUCACCAAGGCGACGAUGCGUAGCCGACCUGAGAGGGUGAUCGGCCACAUUGGAACUGAGACACGGUCCAGACUCCUACGGGAGGCAGCAGUGGGGAAUAUUGCACAAUGGGCGCAAGCCUGAUGCAGCAACGCCGCGUGAGUGAUGAAGGUCUUCGGAUUGUAAAGCUCUGUCUUUUGGGACGAUAAUGACGGUACCAAAGGAGGAAGCCACGGCUAACUACGUGCCAGCAGCCGCGGUAAUACGUAGGUGGCAAGCGUUGUCCGGAUUUACUGGGCGUAAAGGGUGCGUAGGUGGAUAUUUAAGUCAGAUGUGAAACCCCUGGGCUCAACUCAGGGACUGCAUUUGAAACUGGAUAUCUGGAGUGCAGGAGAGGUAAGUGGAAUUCCUAGUGUAGCGGUGAAAUGCGUAGAGAUUAGGAAGAACACCAGUGGCGAAGGCGACUUACUGGACUGUAACUGACACUGAGGCACGAAAGCGUGGGUAGCAAACAGGAUUAGAUACCCUGGUAGUCCACGCCGUAAACGAUGAGUACUAGGUGUAGGGGGUAUCGACUCCCUCUGUGCCGCAGUUAACACAAUAAGUACUCCGCCUGGGAAGUACGAUCGCAAGAUUAAAACUCAAAGGAAUUGACGG
rnacentral:rRNA from 1 species